rnacentral:rRNA from 1 species
UGGGGAAUCUUGCGCAAUGGGCGAAAGCCUGACGCAGCGACGCCGCGUGAGUGAUGAAGGCCUUCGGGUUGUAAAGCUCUGUGGAGGGGGACGAAUAAGUCGGAGCGAACAGCUCCGAUGAUGACGGUACCCUUUUAGCAAGCACCGGCUAACUCUGUGCCAGCAGCCGCGGUAAGACAGAGGGUGCAAACGUUGUUCGGAAUUACUGGGCGUAAAGCGCGUGUAGGCGGCUCUGAUAAGUGAGGUGUGAAAGCCCUGGGCUCAACCCAGGAAGUGCACUUCAAACUAUCGAGCUUGAAUGCUGGAGAGGAAAGCGGAAUUCUCGGUGUAGAGGUGAAAUUCGUAGAUAUCGAGAGGAACACCCGUGGCGAAGGCGGCUUUCUGGACAGCGAUUGACGCUGAGACGCGAAAGCGUGGGGAGCAAACA